GAUUGUACCAUGAGUGCGUCCUGAGUGCGUCAUGAUUGCGUCAUAAGUUGAUAUGCAUUCAGUACAAUUCACACUUCAAAAUCACUAUCUCAAAAUUUACUUUAAAAUAGAAAACGUCAUUGAAAAAUAAAUAAAUGCAAUAAAAUAAUAUCCACAAUAAUUCUUCAUAUUCAUGAGGAUCGACAUAGAUUUCAUUACUUGAACAAAUUUUGUAAUUUAUAAUAAAAGAUUUCUAAAAUUAAAAUAAAUCAGUAUGAUUGUACCAUGAGUGCGUCCUGAGUGCGUCAUGAUUGCGUCAUAAGUUGAUAUGCAUUCAGUACAAUUCACACUUCAAAAUCACUAUCUCAAAAUUUACUUUAAAAUAGAAAACGUCAUUGAAAAAUAAAUAAAUGCAAUAAAAUAAUAUCCACAAUAAUUCUUCAUAUUCAUGAGGAUCAGCAUAGAUUUAAUUACCUGAACAAAUUUUGUAACUUAAAAUAGAAGACAAGAAUAAAAUGGAAGACUACUAAAAAAGCUUUGGUCAUUUAGCUCUGGUUUGCUGUCAAACUAUACUGUCUAUAGCCUAAGUUUGAAUUCCCUGAAUUACAAGAUUUGUCGACAGGCUUUCUUAAAGUAUUUUUGACAGUGUUUUAGGAUUUGUUAUCGACAGGGGGCACGACGUACGCGCGUUACGCGAUAAGUUUUCUUGUUUCCGUCGCGUGCCUCCGUCCGUUACGUACGCGCCCGAACGGCUGACCGACCGGUCUUCUGUUUCCUUCUCGUUCGACCUCGAAAGGAAUCGCGGCGUAAAGCGUAAGAUUUCUCCUUCCUCGUCGCGCGUGCCACGCUCGUGUUUCUUCGUUCGAAUCGUUUUCUCCUACGAACGUCCUUUUCGUUUGCUUCGGAUGCCAGUGCCGAUAAUCUCUGUCCGAAUACCUCUAACGACAGUUGCAUUUGUUUAUGGUCAUCUCGACAAAUCGAUUUCGUAAAUUCGAUUAUGAAGAUUUAAAAAAAUUUGAAAAUGAAAUUUUUACAAGUACAGCACUUUCAGUAAACUUCAUCACGAAUAUUCUAUUUUAUCGUCAGGUAUUUUUCGACAGAAUUACUUCAUGUUUAAUGACGUCAAUUUCGGAAGAUAUUUGACAGAUGCAUAUGUAAACAAAAUGGCGGCAAAACAAGUGCGUCUAUACGCAGCUAGAGUUUUCGAAAACAUGUUUAGUGUCAAAAACGUAAAAUAGUAAAUAUAUUUAUGCUAAACAAGUUGCGUGAAAUAAAUAAUAGUAAAUAUUGUGAGUUAAAAAUCUCAGUAGCAGUUUAUUUAUAACUGUUGCUUCUGUCCCCCACCACGACGCGGAUAACCGUUUUACGGGACUCGCAAGUAAGCGAAAAGUUUCGUCGGCGUUGCCAGCUUGCGUUUCCAGCUAUCCGAUGAAACGACGCGUUACAGUUUUUCGUACAGCUCGUACAACGGGAGUUUCCAGUUUCUCCGUGAAUAGGAAACCGUGUAUCUUUCACCAACGAAAAUGCGUUAACUAGCAUUUAAUUUUCGCGGUGUAGAAAUAAGAUGGACGAAGCUUCUAGAAAAUUCGAUGCCUGAAUUUCUGUUUAUUUUUAGGUCCUGUAAACCCUUCUGACAUCCGAGGUCCAGAAACUUUAAAGCAAAAAAAGCAAAAUGAAAAAGCACUGGAAUUUGAAGAGAGAGGAUUGGCGGGAUUCUGCGGCGAAUAUUUUUUAAUAUUUUUACCUGUUGCUAUUUUCGAGCUUUCCCGACCUAUCGCAACGACUUCGAUAUAAAGCCGGCGUUGAACGUGAAAAUGUCGCGUGGGCGUAUCUCCGGGCGUCGGGGCGCCGGGCGUCGCUACUGGGUACACCGGCCACGGAGUUUCCAUGGCGAUCACUCACCAGCUGACCAUGAUUUCAACCUGACGUCAUAGCUUUCGAAAGGACAACCACGCGCCGCCGACGUGUUAUCGGUUAACGAGUUUACCUCCUCCCCUCUCUAACCAUUUUUCACCGUUACGUCAGAGCAAGAAAAUCAUCGCGUCAAAAUAACGAGUGCGUGGGUGCGGCUACCUGACGCGGUUUUUACGGAAUCAAAAUUUACGUUUUAACGCUAAAUUGACGCAUAUAUUAUAGUAAAGAUGGAGGUAGAGAUAGGUAGAUGUAUCAUUUAUGCCAUAUAACAAGUAUUCCAUCGAAAGGCAAUGUCUGCAGUUCCUUUAUUUAAAAAUCGCACGAACCCCGCCUGGACAGGAGACCAUUUUUAAUGAUAAUCUAUGAAAUAUCGCUGUCAAGAUUCUUUGCGUUACGUAUACGGACCUCUAAAGUAGGCCACGAACGUAGAUCGAAUUUGAAGCGACUGCGGUGAAAUGGGGUUACACAGCUGUAUCAUUUAUGAAUCCGUUGAAAUGCUAGACUGAAUGCUGUUUCCGAAAACGAGCAAAAUAUAUGUACACCGUACGAAAAACUGUAAAUCGUUAUGAUUUUUGUAUCUCAAAAUUAACCUCUUGCACUGUGACUUGUCAGAUGCGUCAGAACUGAUCUAUCAUAUUUACACAGACAAAGAAGAAGUGUUAUGUCAAUUAUAUAUUAUGCAAUAGAUGACUAUGCAAAUUAUUGAACUUCGUAUUGAAGCGUAUUAAAAAUCCGAGUAAAGUCGUAGUUGAAAUUCAAGUGCGUCAUGGGUGCGUCAUGAGUACACUAGUGUGUCAUGAGUGCGUCACGAGACUGAAAACAGUGCAAGGAGUUAAAUAUCGCGUAUUCAAAAAUCUGUAGAAGCUAUAAUAAUGCAACUGCGUUUUCUGUUGAAUCACUAUUAAAAUCAGAGUAAAAUCAGCUGAAAUACUAGUGCGUCGUAGGUGCGUCAUGAGUACACUAGUGUCAUGAGUGCGUCACGAGACUGAAAAUAGUGCAAGGAGUUAAAUAUUGCGUAUUCAAAAAUCUGUAGAAGCUAUAAUAAUGCAACUGCGUUUUCUGUUGAAUCACUAUUAAAAUCAGAGUAAAAUCAGCUUAAAUACAAGUGCGUCAUAGGUGCGUCGUGAGUACACUAGUGUUAUGAGUGCGUCACGAGACUGAAAACAGUGCAAGGAGUUAAAUAUCGCGUAUUCAAAAAUCUGUAGAAGCUAUAAUCGUGCAACUGAGUUUUCUAUUUAAUCACUAUUAAAAUCAGAGUAAAAUCAGCUGAAAUACAAGUGCGUCAUAGGUGCGUCACGACUACACGACUGUGUCAUGAGAGUGUCACGACCGAGGCUCGUGGAAAUAGUGCAAAGAGUUAAAUAUCACGUAUUCAAAAAUCUUUACAAGCUACAAUCGUGCAAUUGCGUUUUUUAUUUAACCACUAUUUCUAAUCUUAUAUAAUUACUGAAAUUUGCAUGUACACGCUUAUAUAAUCGUUGCAAGAUGUAAUUGCGUCAACUAACCUGAGGUUAAAUUAUGUCGCAGUAUUUUUUACACGAGAACAAUUUCGCUUUUAUGUUCCCGAAAUUCGAUCUAAAAUUAGACGUCGGAGAAAGUCACUCUUGGAAAUUUGAUGUCGUCACGUUUGCUAAGAAUUUAAUUUGCUUAAAUCGUUGUAAGUCGAGCAAACUUUGAGCUUCUGUGUAAAACUAUAUUUUUAAUCGGACCGUGAUAACUAUUUAAUUUGAAUCGUUGAUAACGCUGUUUCAUAAAAUCAUUCGAUAAGCUAAAAAUAUUUGAGAACCUUUGGGAAACGGCGGUUUAAAGCUUUGUUCGUCGCAGCUUUGGAAAGCAGAAUGUACAGGAACCUUCGUCACGUGAUGAAGUAUUGAGUCAAGUAUCUCUUUUCAUAAAAUAAAGCAGUGUUACGGUAAGUAUAUUUUGUAGCUGAUCUACAGUCACGCAGGAGUUUCAGAAAUGGCUGUACGGUAAGUAUGAAGCUUCGUACUGGAAAAAUAGAGUUAAAUAUAAAUGGUUAUAGAAAGCUUAGUCAUCUAACAGUGGACAGAGAAAUAGUACUUCACAUUUUUAAUAAAUUUGACUAUUUAGGGACUCUGUAGGGUUUAUAAUUAUGAGGAAAACAUACUAAGGCCAAAUAAGACGAGUUUGUGGAGAGUAUUGUAGCGUAGCAGUGCAAAAAAUGAAUAUUAAUUGAAAUAGGUCGAACACGAUAAAAAUGGCGCCAUCUGUCAGUACGAUGUACACCUGUCAAGAUAUAAAAUUGCGAUUUUCUGGAAAAUUAGAGGAUUUUAUAUUGUUUUGGACUUUUUAAAAUGUUCAAUAUCCUUAAUAGAACAGAAAUAAUGCCAUAAUAACACGUU